rnacentral:tRNA from 1 species
GCGGGGGUAGCAGAGCUAGGUCAAAUGCGCGGGACUCAAGAUCCCGUCCCGAAGGGGUACGUGGGUUCAAAUCCCACCUCCCGCA